rnacentral:rRNA from 1 species
GACGAACGCUGGCGGCGCGCUUAACACAUGCAAGUCGAGCGAGAACCGGGCCUUCGGGCCUGGGGAAAGCGGCGAACGGGUGAGUAACACGUGGGCAACCCACCCUUGGUAUCCGGAUAGCCCGAGGAAACUCGGAUUAAUACGGAAUGGCCCAACAGCUCUUCGGGGCGGUUGGAAAGGUAAGCUUCGGCCUCCGACCAAGGACGGGCCCGCGGUGGAUUAGCUUGUUGGUGGGGUAAGUGGCCUACCAAGGCGACGAUCCAUAGCUGGUCUGAGAGGACGAUCAGCCACACUGGGACUGAGACACGGCCCAGACUCCUACGGGAGGCAGCAGUGGGGAAUCUU